UACAGAGGUCCCGAGCGUUGUUCGGAUUCAUUGGGCGUAAAGGGUGCGUAGGCGGUUUGCUAAGUUUGAUGUGAAAUUCCGGGGCUCAACCCUGGCAUGGCAUUGAAUACUGGCGGACUAGAGUACUGGAGAGGAAACUGGAAUUUACGGUGUAGCAGUGAAAUGCGUAGAGAUCGUAAGGAAGACCAGUGGCGAAGGCGAGUUUCUGGACAGUAACUGACGCUGAGGCACGAAGGCCAGGGGAGCAAACGGGG
rnacentral:rRNA from 1 species